rnacentral:rRNA from 1 species
GAAUUUUGGACAAUGGGCGAAAGCCUGAUCCAGCAAUGCCGCGUGCAGGAAGAAGGCCUUCGGGUUGUAAACUGCUUUAGUACGGAACGAAGAGCCUUGGGUUAAUACCCCGGAGUCAUGACGAUACCGUAAGAAGAAGCACCGGCUAACUACGUGCCAGCAGCCGCGGUAAUACGUCGGGUGCAAGCGUUAAUCGGAAUUACUGGGCGUAACGCGUGCGCAGGAGGUUUUGUAAGACAGAUGUGAAAUCCCCGGGCUCAACCUGGGAACUGCCUUUGUGACUGCAAGGCUAGAGUACGGCAGAGGGGGGUGGAAUUCCGCGUGUAGCAGUGAAAUGCGUAGAUAUGCGGAGGAACACCGAUGGCGAAGGCAACCCCCUGGGCCUGUACUGACGCUCAUGCACGAAAGCGUGGGGAGCAAACAG